rnacentral:lncRNA from 1 species
CUAGUUUCUGGGAAGUCAGGCAACCUGCUUGCACGUACAACUUGGUAAAUGAUAUACUCUAAGGGCUCAUAAAAAUUAAUCCAGAUGCAUGCUACAAAGCUGAUACCAUGAAAUCAUGAGCAGAGACCUCCUUUCUACUUGAGUCCAGAAAGAGCCAGGCUUUGUGUUGGUCUACAUAGUACCGAGAAGGAAAGAGACUCUACUACCACUUUUCAUUGUUGAAACUGUCCAUUCUCAGCUCCCCUGGAAAGGGCCCUCACACUCCUGCCGUAGACACGAAAAAGGUCCUGGCUAAUGCUGGGAAAACACCAAGCUGAAGAAGACAUGUUUCCUGCCCUCCAGCAAAGAGAUAGAGUCCAAGCAAAUAACUACAACAGAUGUGAACGCGGAAGCACAAAGGAAGAAGCUAAUGCUUCCUGGGAGAGGUGACAUUUCUUCUGGGUUUCGAUACUUCUUCUAGUCCUCUCACAUCUUAAAUCUCCAUUCUCAGUAUUCUCAGUGGAGCAUUUUAUUCUGCUUCUAUGAUUUGGGGCAAAAAGAAGAGAAUCUAUUUGAUAAAGUACUUCUAGAAAGACUGGCAGAAAAGACUCUGAAAGACUUUCUCAGGAGUAAGAAACAACACAACUUUCUUAAUAUUCCUGUGCUGUUUUCACAUGCAAAAAAUACUUUCCCCCUCCUACCUCAUCGGUAGGGCAAUGGACAAAAUGGCUUUUCUUAUAGUAAAUAGCAUGUUCCAUGUAAGACGAGGCCAUGAUCUCCCUUUUUUGCACUUCAAAAUAUUUUAAAAUUGCUGGAUUAUUUUUUCCUCUCCAUUCUUCCUUCUGUGGCUUGACAAUUACUAAAGCUGGUAUGAUUGAUAACACGACUCAAGUUAGAGGAAGUCUUUUUUUUCUUGAGAUGGAGUCUGGCUCUGUCUCCCAGGUUGGAGUGCAGCGACUGCGAACUCGGCUCACUGCAAACUAGAGGAGGCCUUUUUUUUUUUAAAUCAAAGAGCCUCUUUUAAAAUUAUAACCCAUUGGGAAUAUGCUGUGGGGAGGUCUCUCACAGCAGUGUGAAAGAGCACAUUAUCUUUUUUUUUUUUUUUUUGAGACGGAGUCUCGCUCUGUCACCCAGGCUGGAGUGCAGUGACGCGAUCUGGGCUCACUGCAAGCUCUGCCUCCCGGGUUCACGCCAUUCUCCUGCCUCAGCCUCCCAAGUAGCUGGGACUACAGGCGCCCGCCACCACGCCAGGCUAAUUUUUUGUAUUUUUAGUCGAGACGGGGUUUCACCGUGUUAGCCAGGAUGAUCUCGAUCUUCUGACCUCGUGAUCCGCCCGUCUCAGCCUCCCAAAGUGCUGGAAUUACAGGCGUGAGCCACUGCACCCGGCAAGAGCACAUUAUCUUGUAUGUGCCUGUAGCCCAUCUGCAGACAUGAAACCCAAGUCCCUGUUCUCCCAAGUGCAAUGGAAACAUCUCCUCUCCUGCGGAUGAACUGAAUAAGGGAUAGUGAAGCAUAUUUUUAAAUGUUUGCUAUUGCUCGUUAGCCACAGUAGGAAUUUCAAUACCAGUGGCAGUGGGAUCCCUCAUUUUAUUGUAGAUGCCUUUUUUCAUUUCAGCUUACAAAGCUUCCCUCCGUUGGAGGGUGGGGGCCGCAGAAAUAAAAUGGAAGGCAAAGGGGGGAUGCGCUGCGAUUUUUCUGCUCAUUGUCUCAUUUUGAAACUGCCCCAACUGUAUAGAACUUCUAGGAAGCCCGUACAUGUCGGCACAUUCCCGGGGAAGAAUGCUUCUCUUAGGAGCCAGUGCCUUAAGAAGUUUCUUCCGUGUUGCACUGGCAUGCAUGUCUGCUUAAAUCGCCACUCUCCUCAUGACAUUUGGCAGGACUAGGAAGUUCACGUGUCAGUCCCGCUAUUGGCCCACGUGACCCCAUCCCCAAAGACAGGCAGUGAACCCCUGUGUUUUUAUGCCAUAUGAACUGAGAAGUAGACGCAUUCUGUGUAAUGGAUACACACUGAGGCUGCAAUUUUUGAAAAGUCAUUGUUUUGACUUCCCUAUAUUCACAUCGAAUAACGCUUUUAGUCUUUGCCCUCAGUACUCUAGAAGGGGCUAUAUAGCCUGUUUUUGUAUUUGUGGGAAAAAGACUAGAAGCUGGGCAAAAUGCCACCAGGAAGACUAACAUGGCGACGUGAUCCCAAGGGAAACUGAGGUCUCACACUGUCCAGCAACAGAAGGAGGUUGAAUUCUGGAGGAGGUUUAAUUUUUUAAAAACUCAAACUAAUAAAAGAUGUUCACAAAUAUUAAAUAUUUUUAUUUGGACUCUGUGUGUAUUUUAAAUUUUUUAUUAUCAACAUAAAAAAUAUAUGCUGGUAUCUGUUGAGAUCCAGUUAGGAAAAGAGAAACCAUACUGGAUGUUUUAAACAGAGGCGGGUAAAUACAAGGAAUUACUAGCCUGAAAAAAAAAAAGGAUAGCGAACUAACC